CUGGGAGCCGGGCAGCGGCAGGCGAGCGGCCGCGUCUUCGGGACCCUGCUGCAGUGUCCCCGUGGCCCGCGGGCCAGCGUCACCCAGGAGGUGGGAGAAACCACGAACUUGACAUUGCCACAAUGCUGUAAACUCUGGCUCGCAUCAGCCGUGACACCUGACCCACUUAGUACAUCUCAGCUGCCUUGCCUGCUGCAGGAGUGAGUGACUGGUGCCCUCCUCGGACAGCUGCUGGCAAUUGGGAACUGUGGAGAAGGUUCACCUAGCCAGAAAGGGGAAAGAUAAAGUCAAAGAUGAGAACAAGAAGGAAAUCAUGAUUUAAGGUGUUGAACCAUCAUGAAAUCACAAACACAGACAAAACAAUGGAAGGAAAGAUCAUGCACUACCCAAGAGCCUCAAUAUGCAUCUAUCUAUCGAAGACAGGCCCAAGGGACUCAGAACGAAA
rnacentral:lncRNA from 1 species